UAGGCAGGCCCAGAGACUGAAAUCCUUUGCUUAUUCACAGAACAAGUACAGCGCUGACAGAAACAAUGCUGGCUGCCAGUGUACCUCAGCCUUUCUCAAGAGAGUCCAGCUUCAGGGAAUGAGACAGUGGCUCAGUCAGGUCCAUCCCGUCCUUGGCUUCU
rnacentral:sRNA from 1 species